GAUGAAGAACGUAGCGAAAUGCGAUACGUAAUGUGAAUUGCAGAAUUCAGUGAAUCAUCGAAUCUUUGAACGCAUAUUGCGCUCUCUGGUAUUCCGGAGAGCAUGCUUGUUUGAGUAUCAGUAAACACCUCAACUUCCAUAUCUUUUUUUGAAAUGGGAGUUGGACUUGAGUGAUCCCAACGCUUUUCCUCACCGAAAAGUGGCGGGUUACUUGAAAUGCAGGUGCAGCUGGACUUUUCUCUGAGCUAUAAGCAUAUCUAUUUAGUCUGCCUAAAAAACAGAUUAUUACCUUUGCUGCAGCUAACAUAAAGGAGAUUAGUUCUUGUGCUGACUGAUGCAGGAUUCACAAAGACAGCUUCGGCCGACUUUGUAAACUCGAUCUCAAAUCAAGUAAGACUACCCGCUGAACUUAAGCAUAUCAAAAGCGGAGGA
rnacentral:misc_RNA from 1 species